rnacentral:rRNA from 1 species
UUUUUAUGGAGAGUUUGAUCCUGGCUCAGGAUGAACGCUGGCGGCGUGCCUAAUACAUGCAAGUCGAGCGAACAGACGAGGAGCUUGCUCCUCUGACGUUAGCGGCGGACGGGUGAGUAACACGUGGAUAACUUACCUAUAAGACUGGGAUAACUUCGGGAAACCGGAGCUAAUACCGGAUAAUAUAUUGAACCGCAUGGUUCAAUAGUGAAAGACGGUUUUGCUGUCACUUAUAGAUGGAUCCGCGCCGCAUUAGCUAGUUGGUAAGGUAACGGCUUACCAAGGCAACGAUGCGUAGCCGACCUGAGAGGGUGAUCGGCCACACUGGAACUGAGACACGGUCCAGACUCCUACGGGAGGCAGCAGUAGGGAAUCUUCCGCAAUGGGCGAAAGCCUGACGGAGCAACGCCGCGUGAGUGAUGAAGGUCUUCGGAUCGUAAAACUCUGUUAUUAGGGAAGAAC